rnacentral:tRNA from 1 species
GCUUUUAAAGGAAAACAGCUUAUCCACUGGCUUUAGGAGCCAUCACCUCCUGGUGCAAUUCCAGGUAAAAGCU